rnacentral:piRNA from 1 species
UGUUGGUGCCUGUAAAACACACAAGGAC